ensembl:snRNA U6 U6 spliceosomal RNA
GUGUUCGCUUCGGCAGCACAUAUACUAAAAUUGGAACUAUACAGAGAAGAUUAGCAUGGCCCCUGCACAAGGAUGACACGCAAAUUCGUGUGGCGUUCCAUAUUUUU